rfam:Phaeosphaeria nodorum SN15 scaffold_72 genomic scaffold, whole genome shotgun sequence.
UACCUAGUUAAUUCUGCUAGUAGUCAUAUGCUUAUCUUAAAGAUUAAGCUAUGCAUAUCUAAGUAUAAGCAAUUAUACUGUAAAACUGCAAAUAGCUUAUUAAAUUAGUUAUUAUUUAUUUAAUAGUACCUUACUACUUAGAUAACUAUAGUAAUUCUAGAGCUAAUAUAUGCUAAAAACCCUAACUUUAGGAGAAGUAUAUUUAUUAGAUAAAAAACUAACGCCCUUUAGAGCUUCUUAGUAAUUUAUAAUAACUUUACAGAUCAUAUAGCUUUACGCCGGCAAUAGUUUAUUUAAAUUUCUGCCCUAUUAACUUUCGAUAGUAAGGUAUUAGCUUACUAUAGUUUUAAUAGGUAACGGGGAAUUAGAGUUUGAUUCUAGAGAGAGAGCCUAAGAAACAGCUACUAUAUCUAAGAAAGGCAGCAGGCGCGCAAAUUAUCUAAUCCCAACACAGAGAGGUAGUGAUAAUAAAUACUAAUACAGAGCUCUUUUAGGUCUUAUAAUUAGAAUAAGUACAAUUUAAACCUCUUAACAAGGAAUAAUUAGAGAGCAAGUCUAGUACUAGCAGCUGCAGUAAUUCCAGCUCCAAUAGCGUAUAUUAAAGUUGUUGCAGUUAAAAAGCUCGUAGUUAAACCUUAGGUCUAGCUAGUAAGUCUGCCUUACUGCGUAUACUUAUCUAGCUAGGCCUUCCUUCUAGAGAACCUUAUGCCCUUUACUAGGCGUGUUAGAGACUAGGACUUUUACUUUAAAAAAAUUAGAGUGUUUAAAGCAGGCCUUUGCUCAAAUACGUUAGGCAUAGAAUAAUAGAAUAGAACGUGCAGUUCUAUUUUGUUAGUUUCUAGAACUGCUAUAAUAAUUAAUAGGGGACAGUUAGAGGCAUUAGUAUUUAAUUAUUAGAGGUAAAAUUCUUGAAUUUAUUAAAGACUAACUACUGCGAAAGCAUUUGCUAAGAAUAUUUUCAUUAAUUAGUAAACGAAAGUUAGAAGAUCGAAGACGAUUAGAUACUAUUAUAGUCUUAACUAUAAACUAUGCUAACUAGAGAUUAGGCCAAUAUUCUUUUUCUAACUUGGCUCAGCACCUUACGAGAAAUCAAAGUUUUAGGUCUAGAGGGAGUAUAGUCGUAAGGCUGAAACUUAAAGAAAUUAACAGAAGAGCACUACUAGGCGUAGAGCCUGCAGCUUAAUUUAACUUAAUACGGAGAAACUUACUAGGUCUAGAUAAAAUAAGGAUUAACAGAUUAAGAGCUCUUUCUUAAUUUUUUAGGUAGUAGUGCAUAGCCGUUCUUAGUUAGUAGAGUGAUUUAUCUGCUUAAUUGCAAUAACGAAUAAGACCUUAACCUGCUAAAUAGCUAGGCUAGCUUUAGCUAGUCGCUAGCUUCUUAGAGAGACUAUUAGCUUAAGCUAAUAGAAGUUUAAGGCAAUAAUAGGUCUGUAAUGCCCUUAGAUAUUCUAGGCCGCACGCGCGCUAUACUAACAGAGCUAACGAGUUCUUUACCUUAGCUAAAAGGUCUAGGUAAUCUUAUUAAACUCUAUCGUGCUAGAGAUAGAGCAUUGCAAUUAUUGCUCUUUAAUAAGGAAUGCCUAGUAAGCGCAUAUUAUUAGCAUGCGUUAAUUACGUCUCUACUCUUUAUACACACUGCCUAUCGCUACUACUAAUUAAAUAGCUUAGUAAGGCCUUUAGACUAGCUUAGAGAGAUUAGCAAUAACUACCUUAAGCCGGAAAGUUCGUUAAACUUAGUUAUUUAGAGGAAGUAAAAGUCAUAACAAGGUUUCUGUAGGUAAACCUGCAGAAGGAUCAUUA